CUCAGAACGGAAAAAAGGAACCAGUGGAUAAUGAAGAUGACGAUUUUACUCAAGGAAACAUUACAUCAUCUGAUUUAUAAUGGAUCCUUAGGACAAAGCUUUCUUCUCAUGGCUUCAUUAUUACACAUGACCCUCACUGAGGAGUUGUCCUGUGCCUGGAUAAACAGUCACAACCUGGAUUGACCUUUGAAGAAGUCGUUCUUCCUGAGUCUUAGUUUAUUUAUCUCAAGAUGAAUAUAAUGGCAUUCUAUCUUACGAAGAACAUAACAAUACCAUUUGGAGAGGUUCUAGAAAGUAGACGAGCCAUUAAAUUUCCUAGCAGACUUUUAGUACUUCGCCAAUGCCCAAUAAGUGGCGGUAAAUUAGGAACAGCACAUUUUUGUUACCGAAGUCAUCUCUACUGGCCACCACCAUUGGUCUCACCAUUGACCACAGUGCAAUUUUAAAAAAAUCACUUAACCUGUAUUUCCUAAAUGGCAAGCUCAUGGCUAGAAAAACUGUACUCCUGCUCAACAGCAUCACUGAACAGCCCUCGACAUGCAUUCCACCUCACUCACAUACAUCAUUUGAACUGUGCAGCAUUCUUUGGAGGAACAGAACGAAUAAGAUGCAUGUACACACAUAAAACUAGAUUGCUGAGUGAAGGGAGAAGGACCCAUCUGAAGCAGGAAGUGAUCUUCUUCUCCAUCCUUCUUCCCCUCCCCCUCCACAUUCUGUCAGAAAUGGCGCACCACCGGCAGGCUGGCCCUGUAAUGCAAUGUGAAGGAGGUAUUGAUGCUCACGGCUCAGCUUCAGUCCACACCGUCUUGCAAUCUUAGGGAUUAAGUUUCUGUAUUCUUGGGCUUUAAUGUAAGAUGUGGAUGGGACCUUAUAAAUCUGAAGCAGAUGUGGGAGUGGAGCUUGAAGUCCAGCUAAUACUCUCCAAGCCAGGUUGCUCCAGAGAAUUCGUUCAGUCCUGGGUGGAGAAAGACAAAUAACCGAGUUCUCCACUUAUCAGAAAGUGAGUAUAAUUGUGUGGACAGACAGUUUAAUCAUGUGAAGACUUUCGAUUGUGUGCCCUGUCCCUGCACCUGUGGGGCCUUCCUUUGCUGACAAUUUAGUGUAUAUCCAGAAAAAUUCAGUUCAUUUUGGACUUGUUCCAAGCCGCAGCUCUCCUCUGCAUUCCUGACCACUCUCCUGUGUCCUCUGUGAGAUUUGCAGAGGAGGACAAGACAGUUGGCAGAGAUGGGGAUAUCUCUUAUUGGCUACAAUGACCAACUAGUCAAGCUGAGGACGUGAUCUUUAAGUUAAAAGCUCCAUCCCACAGGCCACCUCAAUGAGAAGUCACAGAUGAGUGACAUUUUGGGCUCAUACGACUUCCUCUGAAGACUCAACAUGUUUCAAUUCAGGCAGAAUACUUUCUGGAAAAGUUGUCGUUUUCUUCAAGUUUUAGUCACAGGAAUAGCAAGCAUAUAGUUUUCAUUGUUGUAUUAAGACCAUUUUUCUAUUCAUUAACCACUGGUAA